rnacentral:rRNA from 1 species
GACGAACGCUGGCGGCGUGCCUAAUACAUGCAAGUUGAGCGCUGAAGGUUGGUACUUGUACCCACUGGAUGAGCAGCGAACGGGUGAGUAACGCGUGGGUAAUCUGCCUUUAAGCGGGGGACAACAUCUGGAAACGAAUGCUAAUACCGCAUAAAAACUUUAAACACAAGUUUUAAGUUUGAAAGAUGCAAUUGCAUCACUCAAAGAUGAUCCCGCGUUGUAUUAGCUAGUUGGUGAGGUAAAGGCUCACCAAGGCGAUGUUACAUAGCCGACCUGAGAGGGUGAUCGGCCACAUUGGGACUGAGACACGGCCCAAACUCCUACGGGAGGCAGCAGUAGGGAAUCGUCGGCAAUGGACGAAAGUCUGACCGAGCAACGCCGCGUGAGGGAAGAAGGGUUUCGGAUCGUAAAACUCUGUUGGUAGAGAAGAACGUUGGUGAGAGUGGAAAGCUCAUCAAGUGACGGUAACUACACAGAAAGGGACGGCUAACUACGUG